rnacentral:rRNA from 1 species
UGAGGAAUAUUGCGCAAUGGAGGAAACUCUGACGCAGCCAUGCCGCGUGAAGGAUUGAAUGCCCUAUGGGUUGUAAACUUCUUUUUGUACGGGAAAAAACCCUUGCUCGUGAGCGAGGUUGAUGGUACCGUAAGAAUAAGCACCGGCUAACUCCGUGCCAGCAGCCGCGGUAAUACGGAGGGUGCAAGCGUUAUCCGGAUUUAUUGGGUUUAAAGGGUCCGUAGGCGGAUCGUUAAGUCAGUGGUGAAAGCCCACAGCUCAACUGUGGAACUGCCAUUGAUACUGGCGAUCUUGAGUGCGUGUGAAGUUAGCGGAAUGUGUGGUGUAGCGGUGAAAUGCUUAGAUAUCACACAGAACACCAAUUGCGAAGGCAGCUGGCUAACACGCAACUGACGCUGAGGGACGAAAGUGUGGGGAUCAAACAGGAUUAGAUACCCACGUAGUCCCUGAGCGGGCUGGCAAGGCGCAU